rnacentral:lncRNA from 1 species
GCGAGGAUCUGCGGCCCCGCGAGGCCAUGAAGGUGAAGAAGGGCGGCGGCGGGACCGGACCGGGGGCGGAGCCCGUUCCUGGGGCCUCGAACCGGAGCGUGGAGCCCACGCGGGAGCCUGGGGCGGAAGCCGAGUCCGGGUCCGAGUCGGAGCCGGAGCCAGGCCCGGGGCCCAGACUGGGGCCGCUGCAGGGCAAGCAGCCCAUCGGGCCGGAGGACGUGCUGGGGCUGCAGCGGAUCACCGGCGGUGAGCACCGGCGAGGGAGCGCCACCCGCGGGCUGGAGGGAGAGCGCGGGAGGGGGCCCACGAGGCUCAGAGUCCGGCCCCCACCCCUCCCCCACGCAAUGCCCCUCCUCUGUGUCCCCUUACUCUCUC